GCACCCAUAGUUCAACGGAUAGAAUAGGGCUUUGCGGAAGCUCUGAUGACCGUUCGAUUCGGUCUGGGUGCACAA
rnacentral:tRNA from 2 species